rnacentral:rRNA from 1 species
AAAACUUUCAACAACGGAUCUCUUGGUUCUGGCAUCGAUGAAGAACGCAGCGAAAUGCGAUAAGUAAUGUGAAUUGCAGAAUUCCGCGAAUCAUCGAAUCUUUGAACGCACAUUGCGCCCGCCAGUAUUCUGGCGGGCAUGCCUGUUCGAGCGUCAUUUCAACCCUCAAGCGCUGCUGCUUGGUGUUGGGG